rnacentral:rRNA from 1 species
UCCCCUUCGGGGGACAGAGUGACAGGUGGUGCAUGGUUGUCGUCAGCUCGUGUCGUGAGAUGUUGGGUUAAGUCCCGCAACGAGCGCAACCCUUGAUCUUAGUUGCCAGCAUUCAGUUGGGCACUCUAAGGUGACUGCCGGUGACAAACCGGAGGAAGGUGGGGAUGACGUCAAAUCAUCAUGCCCCUUAUGACCUGGGCUACACACGUGCUACAAUGGAUGGUACAAAGGGCUGCAAGACCGCGAGGUUUAGCCAAUCCCAUAAAACCAUUCUCAGUUCGGAUUGCAGGCUGCAACUCGCCUGCAUGAAGCCGGAAUCGCUAGUAAUCGCGGAUCAGCAUGCCGCGGUGAAUACGUUCCCGGGCCUUGUACACACCGCCCGUCACACCACGAGAGUUUGUAA